CAAAUACUCGAAAAGACCGUCCCAGUUCGGAUUGCAGGCUGCAACCCGCCUGCAUGAAGUUGGAAUCGCUAGUAAUCGCGGAUCAGCAUGCCGCGGUGAAUACGUUCCCGGGCCUUGUACACACCGCCCGUCACACCAUGAGAGUCGGGAACACCCGAAGUCCGUAGCCUAACCGCAAGGGGGGCGCGGCCGAAGGUGGGUUCGAUAAUUGGGGUGAAGUCGUAACAAGGUAGC
rnacentral:rRNA from 1 species